rfam:Triticum urartu cultivar G1812 contig518146, whole genome shotgun sequence.
UUCCUACUCCCUCCGUUCCGAAUUAUUUGUCGCAGGUACGGAUGGAUCUAGAUGUAUUUUAGUUCUAGAUACAUCCAUUUCUGCGACAAGUAAUUUGGAAUGAAGAGAGUAGAUG